UUAAGUUAUUAAGGGCGCACGGUGGAUGCCUUGGCACUAGAAGCCGAUGAAGGACGUUACUAACGACGAUAUGCUUUGGGGAGCUGUAAGUAAGCUUUGAUCCAGAGAUUUCCGAAUGGGGAAACCCAGCAUGAGUUAUGUCAUGUUAUCGAUAUGUGAAUACAUAGCAUAUCAGAAGGCACACCCGGAGAACUGAAACAUCUUAGUAACCGGAGGAAGAGAAAGAAAAUUCGAUUCCCUUAGUAGCGGCGAGCGAAACGGGAAGAGCCCAAACCAACAAGCUUGCUUGUUGGGGUUGUAGGACACUCUAUACGGAGUUACAAAGGACGACAUUAGACGAAUCAUCUGGAAAGAUGAAUCAAAGAAGGUAAUAAUCCUGUAGUCGAAAAUGUUGUCUCUCUUGAGUGGAUCCUGAGUACGACGGAGCACGUGAAAUUCCGUCGGAAUCUGGGAGGACCAUCUCCUAAGGCUAAAUACUCUCUAGUGACCGAUAGUGAACCAGUACCGUGAGGGAAAGGUGAAAAGCACCCCGGAAGGGGAGUGAAAUAGAACCUGAAACCGUGUGCUUACAAGUAGUCAGAGCCCGUUAAUGGGUGAUGGCGUGCCUUUUGUAGAAUGAACCGGCGAGUUACGAUUUGAUGCAAGGUUAAGCAGUAAAUGUGGAGCCGUAGCGAAAGCGAGUCUGAAUAGGGCGUUUAGUAUUUGGUCGUAGACCCGAAACCAGGUGAUCUACCCUUGGUCAGGUUGAAGUUCAGGUAACACUGAAUGGAGGACCGAACCGACUUACGUUGAAAAGUGAGCGGAUGAACUGAGGGUAGCGGAGAAAUUCCAAUCGAACCUGGAGAUAGCUGGUUCUCUCCGAAAUAGCUUUAGGGCUAGCCUCAAGUGAUGAUUAUUGGAGGUAGAGCACUGUUUGGACGAGGGGCCCCUCUCGGGUUACCGAAUUCAGACAAACUCCGAAUGCCAAUUAAUUUAACUUGGGAGUCAGAACAUGGGUGAUAAGGUCCGUGUUCGAAAGGGAAACAGCCCAGACCACCAGCUAAGGUCCCAAAAUAUAUGUUAAGUGGAAAAGGAUGUGGCGUUGCCCAGACAACUAGGAUGUUGGCUUAGAAGCAGCCAUCAUUUAAAGAGUGCGUAAUAGCUCACUAGUCGAGUGACACUGCGCCGAAAAUGUACCGGGGCUAAACAUAUUACCGAAGCUGUGGAUUGUCCUUUGGACAAUGGUAGGAGAGCGUUCUAAGGGCGUUGAAGCAUGAUCGUAAGGACAUGUGGAGCGCUUAGAAGUGAGAAUGCCGGUGUGAGUAGCGAAAGACGGGUGAGAAUCCCGUCCACCGAUUGACUAAGGUUUCCAGAGGAAGGCUCGUCCGCUCUGGGUUAGUCGGGUCCUAAGCUGAGGCCGACAGGCGUAGGCGAUGGAUAACAGGUUGAUAUUCCUGUACCACCUAUAAUCGUUUUAAUCGAUGGGGGGACGCAGUAGGAUAGGCGAAGCGUGCGAUUGGAUUGCACGUCUAAGCAGUAAGGCUGAGUAUUAGGCAAAUCCGGUACUCGUUAAGGCUGAGCUGUGAUGGGGAGAAGACAUUGUGUCUUCGAGUCGUUGAUUUCACACUGCCGAGAAAAGCCUCUAGAUAGAAAAUAGGUGCCCGUACCGCAAACCGACACAGGUAGUCAAGAUGAGAAUUCUAAGGUGAGCGAGCGAACUCUCGUUAAGGAACUCGGCAAAAUGACCCCGUAACUUCGGGAGAAGGGGUGCUCUUUAGGGUUAACGCCCAGAAGAGCCGCAGUGAAUAGGCCCAAGCGACUGUUUAUCAAAAACACAGGUCUCUGCUAAACCGUAAGGUGAUGUAUAGGGGCUGACGCCUGCCCGGUGCUGGAAGGUUAAGAGGAGUGGUUAGCUUCUGCGAAGCUACGAAUCGAAGCCCCAGUAAACGGCGGCCGUAACUAUAACGGUCCUAAGGUAGCGAAAUUCCUUGUCGGGUAAGUUCCGACCCGCACGAAAGGCGUAACGAUUUGGGCACUGUCUCAACGAGAGACUCGGUGAAAUCAUAGUACCUGUGAAGAUGCAGGUUACCCGCGACAGGACGGAAAGACCCCGUGGAGCUUUACUGUAGCCUGAUAUUGAAAUUCGGCACAGCUUGUACAGGAUAGGUAGGAGCCUUUGAAACGUGAGCGCUAGCUUACGUGGAGGCGCUGGUGGGAUACUACCCUAGCUGUGUUGGCUUUCUAACCCGCACCACUUAUCGUGGUGGGAGACAGUGUCAGGCGGGCAGUUUGACUGGGGCGGUCGCCUCCUAAAAGGUAACGGAGGCGCUCAAAGGUUCCCUCAGAAUGGUUGGAAAUCAUUCAUAGAGUGUAAAGGCAUAAGGGAGCUUGACUGCGAGACCUACAAGUCGAGCAGGGUCGAAAGACGGACUUAGUGAUCCGGUGGUUCCGCAUGGAAGGGCCAUCGCUCAACGGAUAAAAGCUACCCCGGGGAUAACAGGCUUAUCUCCCCCAAGAGUUCACAUCGACGGGGAGGUUUGGCACCUCGAUGUCGGCUCAUCGCAUCCUGGGGCUGUAGUCGGUCCCAAGGGUUGGGCUGUUCGCCCAUUAAAGCGGUACGCGAGCUGGGUUCAGAACGUCGUGAGACAGUUCGGUCCCUAUCCGUCGUGGGCGUAGGAAAUUUGAGAGGAGCUGUCCUUAGUACGAGAGGACCGGGAUGGACAUACCUCUGGUGUACCAGUUGUCGUGCCAACGGCAUAGCUGGGUAGCUAUGUGUGGACGGGAUAAGUGCUGAAAGCAUCUAAGCAUGAAGCCCCCCUCAAGAUGAGAUUUCCCAACUUCGGUUAUAAGAUCCCUCAAAGAUGAUGAGGUUAAUAGGUUCGAGGUGGAAGCAUGGUGACAUGUGGAGCUGACGAAUACUAAUCGAUCGAAGACUUAAUCAA
rnacentral:rRNA from 1 species